UAUUACGGCCCGGCUGAAGCGCCCACAAUACUUCUUAGCCGAUAGCCGGUAUGCUAAGGCGGGAAAGAACUCACUCACUGUAUAGGAUAUAUAUGAGAACUUUAUUGAGAUCUUGGUACACGGCAAGGUGAUCAGACUUGACCGUGUCAAAGGCGAGUUACGACUAACUUUUCCUGUCCCACUCGGACAGCGCCACCAACGACCAUAGACUGUGUCGUGGUGUAGAAAGGCAACUCUAAGUCGCCACACACUCCCCCCCGAGUGCUAACGCUGGAGAGAAAAUAGAAUACAAUGCUUGGUAUGACACUGGGUGUCUAUCACAAACAAUCGGCGCUGCCGAAUAUCACAAAGAAUAUUGCAGAAAUACAUGUAAUACCGCUGCUUAGAACUAGAGUGUAUACGCAGGAUGUAUCACAGAAAUUACAGACUGUUAUAAUUUGACAAUACCGCUACUUAUAGACUAACGCAUACGCAGGAUGUAUCGC